GGACUAAAGACAUUCAACCAUGCACAAUCCAGUGUUCAAGUCCUAAAUGAUAAAUAACAUGUUGAUUGACUUUUACUCUGAAAAUCACUGAAAACUGCAGUAAUCUUGUAAGACUCACAGUGCUCACACACAUGCAGAAAAACAUACACACUUCCAUUCUUCCUGAAGGAAUGUUACAAAAUGCCCAUUUUUAAAAAAUAAAGGUAAUAGUCGUAAUUAUGACAAAUCCUUCCAUUUUCAACCCAUCUGUUUCUAUUUAACAUCAUCACUUAAACCCUUUAAAAAUGUUCCUGUAAUCUGUGACUGGAAAUUAAUCACUUUGACUUCAGCUUUUAGAAGACCACAGUCACAAUCAUGUACCAAUAGCUGCCUUUUAGGAAAAUGGUGACAUCCAGUGGACAAAUGGUGAAAAGUACUGCUCCAAAUUCCCAUCGCUCGCUCUCUGAAUCAUCAAGAUAUAUGUCAUCCUGAGCCCCACUCACUGUGAGACUUAGGAAACCGCCAGCUUCUGUACCUUAAGCAAAUCCUCCCUGCCCUUCAUAUCUCAAGUCUGUACUGAAGCUGGGAGUAGGAAUAUAUGGUUCUUCAGGCUCUAAAAGUUGAAGUUGUUACCUUGUCCUACUUCCAUUCUCCCCAGCACAGACUAACCGACUCAUGUCUAGGCAUGAAAGAACCAAACUAUGAGAAAUAUACUUAAAUACAAAUGAAUAGCAUAAAAAUUUGAAAAGUUGAAAUCUGAGCUUUUUGCAUGUAUAAUUUAUGACUGUUAAAUAUAAAUAAAGGAUUUAAUUGGUAAUGCUAAUAAUCAAAUUAUAUCCUCUUGCUUCACUGCUUAAAUAUUAUGAAAUACAUAUUUUAGCAAUGAUUGCUUCAGUGCUUAAAACCUUUCUUUUAUAAAUCAGUAUAAAUGAAUACGUUAUACAUUGUUUAAAUAAAAAUAAAAAGGUUCCAUGGAAGCUAUGAUUUACCACUGAUUAUAUGAUCUCAUAUGUUAUGCUCCAAGUACACAAUGCAGCAGAGAUGGCAACACUCACGGCAUGAUAAACCGCCACAAUCAAGACUGCUAUGUUUAAUUGCUUGGAAAAAUGAAAACAAAUUUCACAAAGAAAUUGCAGUAAGCAAAAGGAAAUAUUGGAGAUCUGUUAUUUGUAAAUAAGUCGCCAAAUAAAGAAACCUCUUUUUAAAAAAAGAUUAAGAAUGUAAAAGU
rnacentral:lncRNA from 1 species